UGGGGAAUAUUGCGCGAUGGGGGGAACCCUGACGCAGCCAUGCCGCGUGAAUGAAGAAGGCCUUCGGGUUGUAAAGUUCUUUCGGUAUUGAGGAAGGUUGAUGUGUUAAUAGCACAUCAAAUUGACGUUAAAUACAGAAGAAGCACCGGCUAACUCCGUGCCAGCAGCCGCGGUAAUACGGAGGGUGCGAGCGUUAAUCGGAAUAACUGGGCGUAAAGGGCACGCAGGCGGUUAUUUAAGUGAGGUGUGAAAGCCCUGGGCUUAACCUAGGAAUUGCAUUUCAGACUGGGUAACUAGAGUACUUUAGGGAGGGGUAGAAUUCCACGUGUAGCGGUGAAAUGCGUAGAGAUGUGGAGGAAUACCGAAGGCGAAGGCAGCCCCUUGGGAAUGUACUGACGCUCAUGUGCGAAAGCGUGGGGAGCAAACAGGAUUAGAUACCCUGGUAGUCCACGCUGUAAACGCUGUCGAUUUGGGGGUUGGGGUUUAACUCUGGCGCCCGUAGCUAACGUGAUAAAUCGACCGCCUGGGGAGUACGGCCGCAAGGUUA
rnacentral:rRNA from 1 species